UAGGGUGCAAGCGUUAAUCGGAAUUACUGGGCGUAAAGCGUGCGCAGGCGGCUUUGCAAGACAGAUGUGAAAUCCCCGGGCUUAACCUGGGAACUGCAUUUGUGACUGCAUGGCUAGAGUGCGGCAGAGGGGGAUGGAAUUCCGCGUGUAGCAGUGAAAUGCGUAGAUAUGCGGAGGAACACCGAUGGCGAAGGCAAUCCCCUGGGCCUGCACUGACGCUCAUGCACGAAAGCGUGGGGAGCAAACAGG
rnacentral:rRNA from 1 species